rnacentral:rRNA from 1 species
AGUGAACGCUGGCGGUAGGCCUAACACAUGCAAGUCGAACGGCAGCACAGUAAGAGCUUGCUCAUACGGGUGGCGCGCGGCGGACGGGUGAGGUAUACAUCGGAAUCUACUUUUUCGCGGGGGCUAACGUCGGGAAACUCACGCUAAUACCGCAUUCGAUCUACGGGUGUAAGCAGGGGAUUUUUGGACCUUGCGCGAUUGAAUGAGCCUAUGUCGGAUUAGAUAGUUGGCGGGGUAAAGGCCUACCAAGGCGACGAUCCGUAGCGGGUAUGAGAGGAUGAUCAGCCACACUGGAUCUGAGACACGGUACAGACUCCGACAGGAGGCAGCAGUGGGGAAUAUUGGACGAUGGGCGAAAGGGUAAUACAGCCAUACCGCGUGGGUGAUGAAGGCGUUCGGGUGGUAGAGCCCUGAUGGUGGGAAAGAAGAACAGCAGGUUAAUACCCGGCGGUUCUGACGGUACCCAAAGAAUAAGCACCGGCUAACUUCGUG